ACAAGAGGGCUCUCUGCUGGAGUGGGGCUGGGGCUCAGGGAGAAGAUUCAUCACCAAAGAGCAGCUGGAAAGAUGGAUGGAAGCUGGCUGGAGAUGCAGGACCAACGGAGGAGACUUCUCUGUGUCGUCUCCAGGAUGGCAAUGUCAUUGCACAGGACACUCGCUGAGUAGAAAGAGCAAGUAGGAAUGGGACACAGAAAAUGAUCUGGGCAGAAUUAGACCAUGGCCUCUGCACCCUUUCAGCAUACAGAUUACCUACUCUACCAGUGUUUAAUGUUUAAAAUCCACCUGCCGCUGAAGCAUCAGAAACUACAAAUAUGACGUG